GACGAACGCUGGCGGCGUGCUUAACACAUGCAAGUCGAACGGAAAGGCCCUGCUUUUGUGGGGUGCUCGAGUGGCGAACGGGUGAGUAACACGUGAGUAACCUGCCCUUGACUUUGGGAUAACUUCAGGAAACUGGGGCUAAUACCGGAUAGGAGCUCCUGCUGCAUGGUGGGGGUUGGAAAGUUUCGGCGGUUGGGGAUGGACUCGCGGCUUAUCAGCUUGUUGGUGGGGUAGUGGCUUACCAAGGCUUUGACGGGUAGCCGGCCUGAGAGGGUGACCGGCCACAUUGGGACUGAGAUACGGCCCAGACUCCUACGGGAGGCAGCAGUGGGGAAUAUUGCACAAUGGGCGGAAGCCUGAUGCAGCAACGCCGCGUGCGGGAUGACGGCCUUCGGGUUGUAAACCGCUUUCGCCUGUGACGAAUCGUGAGUGACGGUAAUGGGUAAAGAAGCACCGGCUAACUACGUGCCAGCAGCCGCGGUGAUACGUAGGGUGCGAGCGUUGUCCGGAUUUAUUGGGCGUAAAGGGCUCGUAGGUGGUUGAUCGCGUCGGAAGUGUAAUCUUGGGGCUUAACCCUGAGCGUGCUUUCGAUACGGGUUGACUUGAGGAAGGUAGGGGAGAAUGGAAUUCCUGGUGGAGCGGUGGAAUGCGCAGAUAUCAGGAGGAACACCAGUGGCGAAGGCGGUUCUCUGGGCCUUUCCUGACGCUGAGGAGCGAAAGCGUGGGGAGCGAACAGGCUUAGAUACCCUGGUAGUCCACGCUGUAAACGGUGGGUACUAGGUGUGGGGUCCAUUCCACGGGUUCCGUGCCGUAGCUAACGCUUUAAGUACCCCGCCUGGGGAGUACGGCCGCAAGGCUAAAACUCAAAGGAAUUGACGGGGCCCCGCACAAGCGGCGGAGCAUGCGGAUUAAUUCGAUGCAACGCGUAGAACCUUACCUGGGUUUGACAUGGAUCGGGAGCGCUCAGAGAUGGGUGUGCCUCUUUUGGGGUCGGUUCACAGGUGGUGCAUGGCUGUCGUCAGCUCGUGUCGUGAGAUGUUGGGUUAAGUCCCGCAACGAGCGCAACCCUUGUUCACUGUUGCCAGCACGUUAUGGUGGGGACUCAGUGGAGACCGCCGGGGUCAACUCGGAGGAAGGUGGGGAUGACGUCAAGUCAUCAUGCCCCUUAUGUCCAGGGCUUCACGCAUGCUACAAUGGCUGGUACAGAGAGUGGCGAGCCUGUGAGGGUGAGCGAAUCUCGGAAAGCCGGUCUCAGUUCGGAUUGGGGUCUGCAACUCGACCUCAUGAAGUCGGAGUCGCUAGUAAUCGCAGAUCAGCAACGCUGCGGUGAAUACGUUCCCGGG
rnacentral:rRNA from 1 species